CGUUAUUUGAGUUUCUGACUCAUUCAUGCCACCUCAUCUUCAAUUCUAAAUGGUAUAUCCAUCCUUUCCCAGAUUCUUCCCCUCUUCCUUGUGCCCAGCUGGCAACUCCUCAGUGACUCCAGUAGGUGUAUUAUAGGUGAUCAUAUCAGUUUAUAAUUGAAAAUUGUAAUUUUGUUGUUGUAUUGGGUUGGGUUGUUCUUAUUUAUAAUAGAAUAGAAGAUUUUAAUGUUGUUGUAUUGGUCUUUUUGUUGGUCAAUUGAGAUUCUUCCAUGCACUUAUUACCUUCGUUACUUAAAAGAGGGAUUCUUUGGGCUGCGUAGGUACAGGGGGAAGAUAUGAAUGGAGUUCCUUUAUGAUUUAGAAUUUGUAGUGUUGGUAAGUGUGUAUUCUUUCUUCUUUUUACAACAUUGCAAAUGAGAUGGCUCAUUACACUGCAAAUUGUUGGGAUGUUAAGAUUUAAUGCUCAUAUGGUUGGAUCGAGUGUAUUGUUAUUGCUGACAAAUCUGCAUAUGAUCAGAGUACUCAUACGGUCAUGGAUGAAAAGAAAGCAAUGGAGAUGAAGGCCAACUUGGAGUUUAAGGGUGAAGUUGAAUUCAAUGCUUGCACUCUUGUGAAGAAUGUCACAAUAACCAACAAGAUGGUAAAAAGCAAGAAGGAGAAAAAAAGGAUCACAAGGUUUUACGCCAUCAGUUAUUGAGCCAUCUUUUGGUAUUGGGUAAAUUAUAUACUGUUUCUAUGAGCAUUCUUUCUACAUCAGAAUAAGCAAAGGUCAAGAUGAGCAACAAUGUCUUCCGUUUCCCUCCACUUGUGGCUCGAAUCAAAUGCAAUGUGUUCUCUCUUUUUCAAAAUCAGCGAUAUGAGGAGGUCGCUGAACAAAUUGUUAAGUCAUUGACUGCAGCUGGUAUCUCACAUAAAAUUGACAAUGCAGGAGGAUGAAGAUUGUGGACUAGAGUAGCAAGUAGGCAUGAUGUUUCCAUAAACAUGCAUGCAUGCAUAAGGCGAUAUAAUUGAAUAGGAAAGUAAGAAAUGACCUUUAGAUUGAUUUAGAUUCAUUUAGGAGAGUUAUAUAGAUAAUAUGAUUGAAUUUUCAUAUCAAUUACUUAUAAUUUUUAACGCAAUAAUAUGCUUUCAAUUGAUGAAUACUACU